CCUACGGAUGAGCCUAAGCCCACAAGGGCAUCCCAAGAGUUUGUGUGUCCCGAAAUGAAAAGUCAAAACUUCGAGUGUUGGGUUAGCCUAGCUAACCUUGCCCUAUAUCACCAAAGAGGUAAUGGACUCAAUAUAUGGUCUAAUUCCUCCACCUUAAGGGGUUAACGACUUGAACGAGAUCUCCACGCCAAC